rnacentral:rRNA from 1 species
AUUGAACGCUGGCGGCAGGCCUAACACAUGCAAGUCGAACGGUAGCACAGAGAGCUUGCUCUCGGGUGACGAGUGGCGGACGGGUGAGUAAUGUCUGGGAAACUGCCCGAUGGAGGGGGAUAACUACUGGAAACGGUAGCUAAUACCGCAUAAUGUCGCAAGACCAAAGAAGGGGACCUUCGGGCCUCUUGCCAUCGGAUGUGCCCAGAUGGGAUUAGCGUGUUGGUGAGGUAAUGGCUCACCAAGGCGACGAUCCCUAGCUGGUCUGAGAGGAUGACCAGCCACACUGGAACUGAGACACGGUCCAGACUCCUACGGGAGGCAGCAGUGGGGAAUAUUGCACAAUGGGCGCAAGCCUGAUGCAGCCAUGCCGCGUGUGUGAAGAAGGCCUUCGGGUUGUAAAGCACUUUCAGCGGGGAGGAAGGCGAUACGGUUAAUAACCGUGUUGAUUGACGUUACCCGCAGAAGAAGCACCGGCUAACUCCGUG